GCUGCGGUGUCCGAGUGGUUAAGGAGAUGGACUUGAAAUCCAUUGGGUUCUACCCGCACAGGUUCGAAUCCUGUCCGCCGCG
rnacentral:tRNA from 1 species